rnacentral:rRNA from 1 species
GACGAACGCUGGCGGCGUGCUUAACACAUGCAAGUCGAACGGAAAGGCCCUGCUUGCAGGGUACUCGAGUGGCGAACGGGUGAGUAACACGUGGGUGAUCUGCCCUGCACUUCGGGAUAAGCCUGGGAAACUGGGUCUAAUACCGGAUAGGAGCCAUUUUUAGUGUGAUGGUUGGAAAGUUUUUUCGGUGUAGGAUGAGCUCGCGGCCUAUCAGCUUGUUGGUGGGGUAAUGGCCUACCAAGGCGGCGACGGGUAGCCGGCCUGAGAGGGUGGACGGCCACAUUGGGACUGAGAGACGGCCCAGACUCCUACGGGAGGAAGCAGUGGGGAAUAUUGCACAAUGGGCGCAAGCCUGAUGCAGCGACGCCGCGGGGGGGAUGACGGCCUUCGGGUUGUAAACGCCUUUCGCUAGGGACGAAGCUUUUUGUGACGGUACCUAGAGAAGAAGCACCGGCUAACUACGUG